rnacentral:miRNA from 1 species
AGCCGGGACUACCUGCCACC